rnacentral:SRP_RNA from 1 species
CGUUGUCUGAGCACAUGCGCCAGGCAGGGGAAGUGCUGAAUGUGAGCAUCUUUCGGACGCCCGACGGUCGCUCCAAGGGCUGCGGGUUGGUGUCGUACCG